GGUGGUGAGAGCGCGAGUGGAAAAAAAAGUAGCCUUGAUAUUGGCUGAGUUGCUGAUAAGCAGUUUCCCGGGGAAGAAAAGCACCGUACUUGCUGUACAACCUCUUGGAAGAGAAUCUUCGGCUGCCACAUCCGGUCAGUAAAGGCGGCACUUUGGAAGCGGAAUCCGGUUUCACGAGAUCUUAGCAACCCGGAGAACGUAAGAAACUCGUGACAAUAGAAAUGGGAAGAAAAUUAAUUUCUCUUUCAACUCCACACUAGUUACGGAACCGUACCGUUCUUUCCGGAGAAUUGCAGCAUCUGCAGAGGAAAAAACCAAAAGGGUCAAUUCGACCCUCUUUUAAAAUACCCCUUCAUCACCACUCACGUGUGCACAAAUUGCAACGCCCCAGCAGCCGGAAGCAUGGCCGCCGUCGUGUGUCGUAUGGGGCGAGUCCAGCGGCGAUACCGCUCCCAGAAAGAAAACGUGGAAGCCGUGUGUGAUUCUGGCCGUCACCAACUGCGGCCGGAUGAUGGAUUAUCGACAACAGAACGUUCAGCGACUGCCACGCUUCGUCAACAAAAUCAGGAUCCGCCAGCAGACACGACAGGUUCAGGUGGCACCAUUGAAAGCUCCCGCCACGCUCAAGAACGGACACUAGCGAGGAUGGCAGACGCGGCAGGAUCGUGUUUUCCCAUAAGCAGCUUAAGACGCGCCCAACCCAAGUAACACAGAUUAUGCCAACUAGCAUUAGGAAGUUUUAUUAUGGUUUAAUUAUGGCAUUUUUUUGUGCAGCUCGUUUUAUGGUGGUUUUAUUAUGGUCAU